CCUACGGGGGGCAGCAAUUAGGAAUCUUGCACAAUGGGCGAAAGCCUGAUGCAGCGACGCCGCGUGGAGGAUGACGGCCUUCGGGUUGUAAACUCCUUUUAUCAGGGAGACGGUACCUGAUGAAUAAGCCACGGCUAACUCCGUGCCAGCAGCCGCGGUAAUACGGAGGUGGCGAGCGUUGUCCGAAGUUACUGGGCGUAAAGCGCGCGUAGGCGGGCUAGUAAGUCGGAAGUGAAAGGCUGAGGCUUAACCUCAGCAGUGCUCCCGAUACUGUUAGUCUUGAGGGCGGCAGGGAGAAGUGGAAUGGCUGGUGUAGCGGUGAAAUGCGUAGAUAUCAGUCGGAACACCGGUGGCGAAGGCGGCUUCUUGGGCCGUCCUGACGCUGAGGCGCGAAAGCCAGGGGAGCGAACGGGAUUAGAUACCCUUGUAGUC
rnacentral:rRNA from 1 species